rnacentral:rRNA from 1 species
CCCAGACUCCUACGGGAGGCAGCAGUGGGGAAUAUUGGGCAAUGGGCGCAAGCCUGACCCAGCAACGCCGCGUGAAGGAAGAAGGCUUUCGGGUUGUAAACUUCUUUUGUCAGGGACGAAGCAAGUGACGGUACCUGACGAAUAAGCCACGGCUAACUACGUGCCAGCAGCCGCGGUAAUACGUAGGUGGCAAGCGUUAUCCGGAUUUAUUGGGUGUAAAGGGCGUGUAGGCGGGAACGCAAGUCAGAUGUGAAAACUAUGGGCUCAACCCAUAGCCUGCAUUUGAAACUGUAUUUCUUGAGUGCUGGAGAGGCAAUCGGAAUUCCGUGUGUAGCGGUGAAAUGCGUAGAUAUACGGAGGAACACCAGUGGCGAAGGCGGCUUUCUGGACUGUAACUGACACUGAGGUACGAAAGCGUGGGGAGCAAACAGGAUUAGAUACCCUUGUAGG